UCAUGUAAGAAAUCUGACAAUUCCGGAACCACCAUGAUGGAGACAGUACUUACAGGCACUCAAGUCAACAGUCACAAUUGAACUCCCUGCUGAUGACCGACAUCAACAGUCAUUUUUUGGCAAACUCAUACCAAUGAAAUCUGAUACAAGCAACCCACAAUCAGCACCAGGGGUACCACUGACAUAUGACACCACCUUUAUCAGCUUACUUCUUCAACCUGGCCUUGAUACAUAGUGCUCAUUUUCACGAUCCCAGUGGAAUAAGAGCCUGGGGGACAGAGUGAGACCUUGUCUAAGAAAAAAAGAAAAGAAAAGAAGAAAAGGAAAGAGAC